AUUGAACGCUGGCGGCAUGCCUUACACAUGCAAGUCGAACGGCAGCAUGAUCUAGCUUGCUAGAUUGAUGGCGAGUGGCGAACGGGUGAGUAAUACAUCGGAACGUGCCCUGUAGUGGGGGAUAACUAGUCGAAAGAUUAGCUAAUACCGCAUACGACCUGAGGGUGAAAGUGGGGGACCGCAAGGCCUCAUGCUAUAGGAGCGGCCGAUGUCUGAUUAGCUAGUUGGUGAGGUAAAGGCUCACCAAGGCGACGAUCAGUAGCUGGUCUGAGAGGACGAUCAGCCACACUGGGACUGAGACACGGCCCAGACUCCUACGGGAGGCAGCAGUGGGGAAUUUUGGACAAUGGGCGAAAGCCUGAUCCAGCAAUGCCGCGUGUGUGAAGAAGGCCUUCGGGUUGUAAAGCACUUUUGUCCGGAAAGAAAUGGCUCUGGUUAAUACCUGGGGUCGAUGACGGUACCGGAAGAAUAAGAACCGGCUAACUACUUG
rnacentral:rRNA from 1 species